CUUUGUCUCUACAAAGAGCGGCUUGUGGGAUGAAGGAAGACAGGAUUGCAUAUCAAGAGGAGCAGAUCUGGUGGUGAUAAACGAUAAAGAUGAACAGGACUUUAUUUCCAGUCUUGCAAACCAAGAACCUUGGAUUGGUUUGAACGACAAGGAAACUGAAGGUUCUUGGAAGUGGGUGGAUGGGACCUCUAUGACUCUUUCGUUCUGGAUAGACGGUCAACCUGAUAAUUGGAAUGGUGAUGAAGACUGUGUACAAAAUAUAAAGAAAGAGUGGAACGACAUUUCCUGUUCAAAAUCGCACCAAUGGAUCUGUGAAAAACUACCAUCAUGGAGUGCCUGAUCCACCCCUCCUCUGCUCUGGUGUAUUUUAAGGUUCUAUAUUUGGAGUUUUUCUG